CGAUGUUACGUGAUGGUGUAGAAUAAAUGUGAGGAAUGCCAUGUCUAAAUAUAUACUUUAGCUAUUUACCAGGUUUUGCACAAUCCAAAUAUGUAUGUGUAGCCCCACCUGCUGGCAACAGAAUAAAACGUGGUUUAAGUGGUAGGCUACUGAGUAAUUUAUAAAUGAAUAUAAUUCUGGAUUCAUUUAUGACAUUAAAAAAACAAGUUAUUUUUCUUUUUUUUUUAUACAGUUUAAUGUCGCAGAAUAUAUUAGUUUUACAUUCCAAUCUUAAAAUAUCUUACUGUUUUACUGUGUACUUGGCUCCAGAUGCCCUGUAAAGUGCUCCUAGUUUGGGAGAAUUACAAUGCGCAUGCCCAAAGCUAACUGCCCUGCUGCAAUUUGAUUGGCUGUUUGCCAAAUACUGUUGUCAUUAGCUUCCAUUUGGAAGGCGGCAGCCGUUAGCAUUUCAAGAGCGUAAAUGCGGUCACCGUGAACGAUGUGGGUUAUCUUCUACAGAACACAUUUUAUACACAUUUUAUAAAAAAUAAAAAAAACUUGAGAAGAAACAUGUAAUACCCACCAGCUGCGAGAUAUUUUUUAUAAACCCAAACCUAUGUUAAAAUAAUCCCAUUUGACGUGGAGUGGUUCUUCGGGGCGGGGGAGCAAACUGCUAGUGUUAGCUUGUCGGAGAAGACACCUUUUCUGUAGUAUUUAUAUUGCACACACUCCUGCUUGGUUUGAACUUCCCGUGUUUGUUUAAAUUCGAAGGGACGGUAGCCUACCUGGUCAAGAACAGACUUUCAGGAUGUCAAGCAUUUUUCUGAGAGGAUUACCCGACAUGAAAGCAGCAGGACAAACCCAU